rnacentral:lncRNA from 1 species
UUGCUUAUUUUUUUUCACACGUUCUCAAAGAAAUUCAAACAAUUACUGGCAGGCCCUAAUGCAUCCGUUGCCUCCAGGAUGUUUGGGAUUAUUACUUCCAAAAUAGGCUCUUGAUGUCCAUGAGAAAGAUGCAGGAGCAGUGACUUCAGGGGAGAAGUAAGAUUCACUUAGAAUAAGAAAGAAACCAUUAAGAGGAGAGUUUGAGGAUACAGAGGAUUUUACUGCCUGUCCAGAGGCUCAGAGUUUGGGGAAAGAGGAGAUGGAAUUAGAAGUGCUAAGUGCUGAGGUGUACCUGAAUGAGGGGUAACCUAGGUGUUGGGGCUUCACAAGUCCAGGCAGUGAGGUCACAUGAGUAUUAAGGUCUAAAUGUUGCCACUUCUUCCACCAGCCUCCACUCCUUCCCCUUCACUUAUUUUGUUUCGUUUUGUUUUGUUAGUCUCCAGGGCAGGCUUCGGAAUGCCUGGGAUCAAUUCUGCUUGUGUUCUUCAGCUCCAUUCAGCUCCAUCCAGCUCCAUCAUUUAGUCAGCUAUCUACAAUUGCUGGAGGUCAGAAGUCUAAAAUCAAGGUGUCAGUAGUGCUGCAUUUCUUCUGAAGGUUUCAGGAAAGAAUCUAUUCCUUGCCUUUUCCAUCUUCUAGUGGCUGCCCUCAGUCUUUGGCUGGUGGCUCCUUCCACCAUCUUCCAAGCCACAGCAUAGCAUCUUCUCUCUCUGACUCUGCUUCCCUCUGCUUCCAUUGUCAUAUGGUCUCCUUUUUUUGACUUUGACCCUCUUGUCUCUCUCUUAUCAGGACGCUUGUGAUUAUAUGGGGCCCACCUGGAUAACCCAGGCUCUUUCCAUCUCAAGAUCCUUAACUUAAUCACACCUGCAAAACCCUUUCUGCGAUGUAAG